AGAACGAACGCUGGCGGCGUGGAUAAGACAUGCAAGUCGAACGGGUUUAGUUUCGGAGCAAUUCGGAAUUAGGCCAGUGGCGAACGGGUGCGUAACACGUGAGUCAUCUGCCUGAAAGUGGGGGAUAGCUCGCCGAAAGGCGAAUUAAUACCGCAUGUGGUUGUAAGACCAAAGCCGGGGCAACCUGGCGCUUUUAGAGGAACUCGCGGCCUAUCAGCUUGUUGGUGAGGUAACGGCUUACCAAGGCUUCGACGGGUAGCUGGUCUGAGAGGACGACCAGCCACACUGGGACUGAGACACGGCCCAGACACCUACGGGUGGCAGCAGUCGAGAAUUUUUUCUCAAUGGGGGAAACCCUGAAGGAGCGACGCCGCGUGGAGGAUGAAGGUCUUCGGAUUGUAAACUCCUGUCAUUGGGGAACAAUGCGUAAAUAUUAACUGUAUUUACGUUGAUAGUACCCGAAGAGGAAGGGACGGCUAACUCUGUGCCAGCAGCCGCGGU
rnacentral:rRNA from 1 species